rnacentral:tRNA from 1 species
UCCUGGAUAGUUCAGUUGGUUAGAGCAUGGUGCUGAUAAUGCCAAGGUUGCAGGUUCGAGUCCCAUAUGGGGCA